UUGGUUCGAGAGUGGCUUAAGUUCCAAUUCUUCAAAGCUUCCCAUAUCGGGGCUUCAAUUUUAUUUAUUUUCAAGAUCCUACUCGGAAUUUGCAAUCGUGGCACCUUGAUGGCUACCACUUUCUUGUUGUUGGUGUUUGAUGAGGAAUAGUUAAGGUGAAGAAACGACAACGUUUACAGACAAGGUAAAUUAGAACGGGAGGGAUAUUGGAUGAGGAUAAGCAAAGUCCCACAUUGGAAGUAAGCAAAAAGAGAAGGACGACGUGCUUGCUAUAAAACAGACGAAGAAAUGGGGUUAAAGGUAUGAUCCUUCAUGGCAGUAUAACGGGAUAUGAUGAGUGGUCAAUGCUCGCUAAUUGCUAUGCGAGAUGGGUGUCCGCCCCUUGCCAGUUACGACAAUAUGGGCACUCUCAUCUGUACCAUCUGAUCCCCGUUCUGAAGGAAUCCUUUAUUAAUCUAGUGCCAAAUUUUCCA